GGUCAAGCGAAUAAGGGCUAACGGUGGAUACCUAGGCACACAGAGGCGACGAAGGACGUGGUUACCGACGAUAUGCUCCGGGGAGUUGGAAGCAAACAUUGAGCCGGAGAUUUCCGAAUGGGGCAACCCUAUAUACUACCUGCUGAAUAUAUAGGCAGGAGAGAGCCAACCCAGCGAAUUGAAACAUCUUAGUAGCUGGAGGAAGAGAAAUCAAAACAGAGAUUCCCUAAGUAGUGGUGAGCGAAAGGGGAAGAGCCUAAACCAAAGGGUUUACCUUUUGGGGUAGUGGGACAGCGAUAUCGAAUCUAGCGGUUAAACGAAGCAGCUAAAUACUGCACCAAAGAAGGUGAAAGUCCUGUAGUUGAAAACUCAAGGAUAGUAGCUGAAUCCCGAGUAGCAUGGGGCACGAGGAAUCCCAUGUGAAUCAGCGAGGACCACCUCGUAAGGCUAAAUACUACUGUGUGACCGAUAGUGAACCAGUACCGCGAGGGAAAGGUGAAAAGAACCCCGGAAGGGGAGUGAAAUAGAACAUGAAACCGUUAGCUUACAAGCAGUGGGAGGACUAUUCAAAGUCUGACCGCGUGCCUGUUGAAGAAUGAGUAAGCGACUUAUAGGCACUGGUAGGUUAAAGCGAGAAUGCUGGAGCCAAAGGGAAACCGAGUCUGAAAAGGGCGAAUAUUAUCAGUGUUUAUAGACCCGAACCCUGGUGAUCUAGCCAUGGCCAGGAUGAAGCUUGGGUAACACCAAGUGGAGGUCCGCACCGACUGAUGUUGAAAAAUCAGCGGAUGAGUUGUGGUUAGGGGUGAAAUGCCAAUCGAACCAGGAGCUAGCUGGUUCUCCCCGAAAUGUGUUUAGGCGCAGCGGUAAUGAUUAUAUCUGGGGGGUAAAGCACUGUUUCGGUGCGGGCUGGGAGAACCGGUACCAAAUCGAGACAAACUCUGAAUACCCAGAGUACACAUUGCCAGUGAGACAGUGGGGGAUAAGCUUCAUUGUCAAGAGGGAAACAGCCCAGACCACCAGCUAAGGUCCCCAAAUCAUCGCUAAGUGAUAAAGGAGGUGAGAGUGCACAGACAACUAGGAGGUUUGCCUAGAAGCAGCCACCCUUGAAAGAGUGCGUAAUAGCUCACUAGUCAAGCGCUCUCGCGCCGAAAAUGAACGGGGCUAAGCGAUGUACCGAAGCUGUGGGAUUAACUAACGUUAAUCGGUAGGGGAGCGUUCCGUCGUAGGUAGAAGCAGUAGCGGCAAGCAGCAGUGGACGAAACGGAAGUGAGAAUGUCGGCUUGAGUAGCGCAAAUAUUGGUGAGAAUCCAAUACCCCGAAACCCUAAGGGUUCCUCCGCCAGGUUCGUCCCCGGAGGGUUAGUCAGGACCUAAGGCGAGGCCGAAAGGCGUAGUCGAUGGACAACGGGUUAAAAUUCCCGUACUGACCCCUUGUAGGUUGUGCAGAGGGACGGAGAAGAUAAGUGUCAGCCGGAUGUUGGUCUAUCGGUUCAAGGACGUCGAGAUGACCCUCUUUUAGGGUAAGAAACGGCGAAAACGUUUUGAGUUGAGGCGUGAGUACGACCCACUACGGUGGGGAAGUGGCAUAGUCAUAGCUUCCAAGAAAAGCUCGAAACACGUUCAACUUACAGGUACCUGUACCCGAAACCGACACAGGUAGGUAGGUAGAGAAUACCAAGGGGCGCGAGACAACUCUCUCUAAGGAACUCGGCAAAAUAGCCCCGUAACUUCGGGAGAAGGGGUGCCCACCGUAAGAAGGGGGUCGCAGUGACGAGACCCAGGCGACUGUUUACCAAAAACACAGGUCUCCGCAAAGUCGAAACGACGCACGUAUGGGGGCUGACGCCUGCCCAGUGCCGGAAGGUUAAGGAAGUUGGUCAGGGGGCAACCUAUGACGGAGCUGGCGACCGAAGCCCCGGUGAACGGCGGCCGUAACUAUAACGGUCCUAAGGUAGCGAAAUUCCUUGUCGGGUAAGUUCCGACCCGCACGAAAGGCGUAACGAUCUGGACACUGUCUCGGAGAGAGACUCGGUGAAAUAGAAAUGUCUGUGAAGAUGCGGACUACCUGCACCUGGACAGAAAGACCCUAUGAAGCUUUACUGUUCCCUGGGAUUGGCUUUGGGCUUUGCCUGCGCAGGUUAGGUGGGAGGCGAAGAAGUCCUCCUUGCGGGGAGUCCCGAGCCAACAGUGAGAUACCACUCUGGAGAAGCUAGAAUUCUAACCUUGUGUCAGGACCGUUAUCCGGCCAGGGGACAGUCUCAGGUGGGCAGUUUCACUGGGGCGUAGGCCUCCUAAAAGGUAACGGAGGCGUGCAAAGGUUCCCUCAGCACGCUUGGAAACCGUGCGGCGAGUGUAAAGGCAUAAAGGGAGCUUGACUGCAAGACCGACCCGUCGAGCAGGGACGAAAGUCGGCCUUAGUGAUCCGACGGUGCCGAGUGGAAGGGCCGUCGCUCAACGGAUAAAAGUUACUCUAGGGAUAACAGGCUGAUCUCCCCCAAGAGUCCACAUCGACGGGGAGGUUUGGCACCUCGAUGUCGGCUCAUCGCAACCUGGGGCUGAAGUACGUCCCAAGGGUUGGGCUGUUCGCCCAUUAAAGCGGUACGUGAGCUGGGUUCAGAACGUCGUGAGACAGUUCGGUCCAUAUCCGGUGCAGGCGUAAGAGCAUUGAGAGGAGUCCUUCCUUAGUACGAGAGGACCGGGAGGAACGCACCGCUGGUGUACCAGUUAUCGUGCCAACGGUAAACGCUGGGUAGCCAAGUGCGGAGCGGAUAACCGCUGAAAGCAUCUAAGUGGGAAGCCCACCUCAAGAUGAGUGCUCUCACCACUUUAAGUGGGUAAGGUCACCUGAAGAACACAGGUUAAUAGGCGGUAGGUGGAAGUGCAGUAAUGUAUGUAGCCGAGCCGUGCUAACAGACCGAGGGCUUGACCUC
rnacentral:rRNA from 1 species